rnacentral:rRNA from 1 species
AACGAACGCUGGCGGCAUGCCUAACACAUGCAAGUCGAACGAGACCUUCGGGUCUAGUGGCGCACGGGUGCGUAACGCGUGGGAACCUGCCCUUAGGUUCGGAAUAACUCCCCGAAAGGGGUGCUAAUACCGGAUAAUGUCUUCGGACCAAAGAUUUAUCGCCUUUGGAUGGGCCCGCGUUGGAUUAGCUAGUUGGUAGGGUAAAAGCCUACCAAGGCGACGAUCCAUAGCUGGUCUGAGAGGAUGAUCAGCCACACUGGGACUGAGACACGGCCCAGACUCCUACGGGAGGCAGCAGGGGGGAAUAUUGGAAAAUGGGCGAAAGCCUGACCCAGCAAUGCCGGGGGAGGGAUGAAGGCCUUGGGGUUGUAAAGCUCUUUUACCCGGGAUGAUAAUGACAGUACCGGGAGAAAAAGCCCCGGCUAACCCCGU